GUUCAAAGGAACCAUUUUGGCAGAUGCGUACUAUGCAUUGAAGAAAUCAUGCUGAAUAUCAAGCAGCAAGAUCUUAAAAUUGGAGAAAAUACGUUCCCAAAACUGAAAGACUCCUGGGUAAACAAGACAGAGAAGAUAAUUCUACAGUGAUCAAUUUCUUCAAGAAUGGAAGAAACCUUGCCAACACACUAUUUGCUUGUGACAGAAAACAGAGACUACAGAGUGCCAAGCACCCCUUUUUCCAUGUUUCAAUGCACAGCUGGUAGCAUCUGACCCAACCUGAUAUGCAUAAGGCUCCAGCAGAAGAUUGGGUCUCUGGUGCCUUUCCUUAAGCACCAUAAAAAACACACAGCAAGAGUUACCACACUGAAGACCUUAUCCAAGUAAACCAGACAGUGGGUAAAAUGAAUUGCCUGGAGGCACAGCAGGUCUGUGGCAGAGCCAGAAACAGACUGCAGUUUGUCAAAUGGAUUAUGUUCUGGGGCACAAAACAACUAACCCAAUUAAGUAAGAAGAGUGUUCAGUCCCCAAAUAGUACAGAUUUGAAGCAGCACUCACUUCCCAUAAGACAGCCCCAAACAUAUGAAGAAUGACUACUGUUUAAAAUUUCUCAUCAUAAAUCAUGGCAAUGCCAACAUGGAUAUCUCAAUUCUCACACUAGCUCUUGCCAGAGCACCUGCAGAGGACUCCUCUCUAAGGAAUUUCCCAGGAGAUGCUUGCUGGCUAGCAUACAGCAAGAAUAGCAGCAGCAGCUAAAGCAGUGUUCAACAGCAUCAGGAGUCAGAGUUACAUUUCUCAGUGUCAUGCCCCUUCAAGGAUUUAGAGGACUGGAGGAAGUCAAAGGAACAGCCCUGGAGAGCAAACUAUGUUUGCUAUGGGAUCUCAGAAAGCUCUCUACUUAUUUGGAUUUGGAGAAUGGAGGAAGGAGUGGGGGGAAAGGAACAAAUACAAGGAAACAUUUUUUAUUUUGUCAAUGCUUUUCAAAGAAAAUCAAAAGCAUAAAAUAAGUACAACAAAACUGCAGUAGUAUCUUGAGUGAUGAUAAAAUUGAUCAAAUUUGUCUGGACACUAAUAUCAAGGAAUUAGACGAAUAGGAAUUGGUUGUAUAUCUAUUACUUUAUCUUGCCUCUAUAUCAUUAAGAAGCAGUCAGAGUACAAUUUUGCAAGAGUUGGCCACAUUAGGAGAGUUCCCUUCUGCAAGAACACAGAUCAUUAUGCCUAUAUUUUUAUUUCAGACAGCUUCUUAAAACAGUGUACCUAUUUCCCCCACACAAUUCAUUUUUUCCAAUAAUGUAAAACAAAAUUUUUUGUAUAGAACACAUGAAUCAGUGACCUAAGGGUGAGUUGGGGAAAUGCAUGUCAGCACAAGCAAGUUGUAGGAUUAAAUCAGGAAAAAGGUACUUAUUUGUUCUUCUAACUCCCCUAUCUUUAAACUUUAGCAUACUGUACUCAUAAACCAAAAAGGCUAUUACUUGCAGGAAAGGAAUUUAAUGAAUGGCAAAAAGUUCAACUUAAUACAGAGUUCAGGAGACUUUAGCAAGCACUAUGCUUUAGAACUGUUCAUUAAUUCCCAUCAACAGAGCAGUUCUAGGUUGUCCUAUCAUAGCAAGUCCUCAAUAAGACAGCUCCUAGUAUUAGUUCUAACUGGGUGCAUGUUGUUUUUAAAGCGUCCCUCCACUUCCCACUUGCUGUGUCAGGGCUUUAACUUCCCUGUGCUUGUCAACAGUUAGAUGGGUAGAAAAUCUGUCAUGCAUAGUUAUGUUUUAGUAAACUUAUCCCUGUUUUUGGGGUCUGCUGCAUGUGUUCUCUCCACUAACACCACCAAGUUUCAACACUUCUUACUGUAGCCUCAGGUUCCAUGAUUCUAUCAAUUAUUUCUUGGCAUACAAGUAAUCUGUUAUUCAAACCACUUCCCACAAGGUAUACCAGUACAGUAUUUUAAAAUUUCAGUUACUAAUACUGUUACUGAGUCAACUUUAUUGAUAUCCUACUUUCCCUUCAAUCUCCUCUGCCAUCACAGACAACCAAGAUGGAAAUGUCUAUUUUGCACAUACAUACAUGGAACUAAACUCAGUUAUGGAAGAUUUGUGAAAUCCCUGAAGCGUUUUCAACCUAGUUCUCUCAGUUUCCCCUCUAAUCAUACUAAAAAUUAAGUAAUGAUUAAUAAUACCUCCCCCUUUCAAAAAUAAUUUGGCAGCUGAAGUCAUUCCUUAAAAACCACUGGCCCAUGGUAAAAGGGAUGAUCUGGGAACUCUAUUUUUCCAAUACAUUCAAAUUUCUUCCAAUUGUUUUUAAGCAGUUACAUACAUUAAUUUACUGGCACAUGGAUGAAUAGAUGUUUGAUACAAUGGCUAUAGUGGAACAAGUCCAUGUAAAAUGUUAAAUCCUAGUAUCGUCCCAAUGGGGUUUUUUUCUAAACGAUCAUAAAGGGAGAUAAGGAGAUCUAAUAGCACUAGUUUUAUAAAGCAGAAGUAGGCAUCUGUGUUUUGCAGGAAACGCAUAUAACAGCUGCUCCUUUCCUUUCUUCCUUGGGGGAACUAUCAUGCAGCGAGAGGAUCAAGCCCUA